GUGACAGCGACGUAAUCGACGACGAACGACGGCGGCGGGAGUUUGGGAAGGAGGACGAUGGCGAUGGCUUCCGGGUGAAUCCGUCCGAUUAGUUGUGUGGGGAAGGAGAUCUCAUGGUUGCGGAGCUCCUGGACAUGGUAGUUAGUCGCGGGGAAGUUGGUUGCCCCGUCGGCGAGAGGCUGCACGCUAGACGGCGGCGGCGCAGGUGCGUGCGUGCGUGCGUGCAUUUUUUUGGAGCGAAACGUCGCCUGCAAAUUUAGGAAGUUCGUGUCUCGCUCCGUGGCUGCCCAUGCUAGCCGUGCCCAACUGCUGCUGGCCGUGCACGUGGCCGUGGCUGGCCGUGCGCUGCUGUUGCUCUGCCGGCCGUGCGCUACUGCUUCUGUCGGCCGUGCACUGCUGCUGAUGGCCGUGGUGCUGGUGUCCUACUCCUAUCGAUGUCCAUUGUGUGCACGGGGCCUGCUGCGUCCACCAGGGCACCAGCACCGACGCCGCCGGUUCGAGAGAAGGAACAGUUUCAGAGAAGGAACGGCAGGACAUCAUGCUCUGCCUCCUGAUGCUCUCUACCGGCGACCCAGGCUGAGUUUAGGUCGAUGCGCUGGAAAGGAUGGAAAGGAGAGCUCGGGGAGUUGCUGGUGGAGACUGGUGGUGAUGGUGGACAGUGCUCGCUGCUGGGAUGGGAGAGGGAGAUGGUGCUGUCUGUUGUGGUCAUGCCGGUCCAGUGGUCCACUACCUUCAGCAGCGAUGGUGUUGUGGUCAUGCCGGAUUGCCGGUCCACUAGAAGCCCACUGUUCAAUACCUAUCAGUGCCAUUUGAAAUUUGAAGAGAUUGAUGCUGAUGUUUGCGUACUUCUGCUGCUGCUAAUAUUCUCUCUAUGUGUGCUAAACUACAAGAAAGAAUACUAUAAACAAAGGACCAUGCAUUCUAUGCUCCCUCUCUGUCUUUAUCUCUAAAUUUAUUGGCAGCAGGAAUCACUAAAUAUUGUCCCUUUCAGAUGUUUGAUGAAAUGCUCGACCACAUCGUCAAUACAAAAUUAGGCCUAUAUAUAUGAUUGGGUAUUAAUUUUGGAUGAUUGGGUAUCAGGUUCCUAUUUUCAGGAUUCUGUGCAUUAGCAACAAGCGAGAUCAUGAUCGUGAUUUUUUAUGUCUUGUAAGGACAAUAUACCCAUCUUGCGGGAAAUUAAGUCUUUGGGUGAUUGAGAGUGGGAAGUUAUGCUCUCUAUCAUUCCAUACAAAUUUUGUUUCAGACCACCUAUUCAUGUGGAGUAGCUAAUCAACUACAUUUUCCUCUUAUUUUCAUUUAAAAUUUGAUCUUAUUGUAUUACAUAUUGAUGCAUGCUGAAAGCUCGACGGCGUGGAUGAUGCAGAAAAGAUGAAAUAUUAAUUUAGUCCAUGCGUGAUUUUGUACUAGCAAUACAUGUUAUGCUUAGAUGCUUCUUCAUGCUUAAUACAGUUCAUAGCUGUUGUUCGGUUAUUUUGGACUUUUGUUUACUAUCUAACUCUUCGGUGUGGCGAUCCUUCCAGCACAUUCUCUCGACAUGGUGAGCUUCCACCCCGCUUUCUCCGCGGUUCUUCCUCCAGACAACGACUGCCAAUGAGCCCCACAUCCUCACUGGAAGGGAGGUCCCUAAACCCAGAUUCCCUUCAUGUGCAACCGGAGACGGCUCUCGAAUUGAAGAGGUUGGGCAGGGGCCCUGCACUGCAACCUACAGCGUCUCCUCUUCCUGGGCACCAGCAUCCACGGCUAUAGAAGCAUCUUCAGAUUUCAGCGGGAAGGCAGCAACACUAGGCUAUUGGAAGCUACAAAGACAAGAUUGAAGAUUUCAGAGAUGAGAUGCCACCAUGAGGUAUUUUAAAUUUCACCUGCCAUGCAACCGGUAGUUCAGUUCAUAGGAGAGCUUGAUGUGCAUGUGUAUUUUGAUGACAGUGCACUCAAGAACUCACAUGUUCGUCGAUGAAUUUACUUGCACAGGAUGCAAAAUUUUCGUGUUCACGUUUUUUCAAGAUGCAAAAAUUAUUUCAACGUGUGCCACAAUAUCUUUCGAAUUGACGACUCUGGAAGGUUAUAAUUCUAUUCUCAGACAUUUAUCUUGGAGCUCAAUCAAGAUGCCAUUUAUUGUUGGUGAGAAUGCAAGCCCACCAUAAUGUUUAUUUGAUCAUGAUAAGUUUAUGACGUGCCAACA